GAUAAAAUUAAGCAUGAUAACUAUCAAGCAUGAUAAAUAUCAAAUUGGAGUUUCAAUCUUGGAACCAGCGAGUCUUCAAAGAUCUCUAAGCUCCCAAAAUGUGCAAAACAAUUCAUAGUUGCCCCUUGAAUUUAAUUAGCUUCAACGGUGCUAUUUGCAGUUUGGCAAUCUCAAUGUUUAUAAACCUGUAAUUGAACUAUGCACUUAUUGAUUGUCAAUUUUAG
rnacentral:misc_RNA from 1 species